rnacentral:rRNA from 1 species
UACGGGGGGAGCAAGCGUUGUUCGGAUUUACUGGGCGUAAAGGGCGCGUAGGCGGCGCAACAAGUCACUUGUGAAAUCUCCGGGCUUAACCCGGAGCGGUCAAGUGAUACUGUCGUGCUAGAGUGCGGAAGGGGCUACUGGAAUUCUCGGUGUAGCGGUGAAAUGCGUAGAUAUCGGGAGGAACACCGGUGGCGAAGGCGGCGACCUGGGUAGAUACUGACGCUGAGGUGCGAAAAGCGUGGGGAGCAACAGG